UAACUGAUAAAUCCUGUGAGGAAGGGUGAAGGAAAAAGAGACAGAAGAAGCAGAAAAACAAACUAAUUUUAUUGGAAAUUAAAUCAAAAUUGUAAUUUUGACAGUUAAUGUUUGUUUUAGAACAUUAGAACGUUAUAGCACAAGCAUCACGAAGGAGAAGCAGGAAACAUACAAAGAAUCAUGGUCCGUCAUAUACACAGCAAAAUCUAAAUAGUUAUAUAUGUUUAGAGCUUUCAAAAUUAAAGAUAUAUGAUGUCAUGA